rnacentral:rRNA from 1 species
AGUGAACGCUGGCGGUAGGCCUAACACAUGCAAGUCGAACGGCAGCACAGUAAGAGCUUGCUCUUACGGGUGGCGAGUGGCGGACGGGUGAGGAAUACAUCGGAAUCUACUUUUUCGUGGGGGAUAACGUAGGGAAACUUACGCUAAUACCGCAUACGACCUACGGGUGAAAGCAGGGGAUCUUCGGACCUUGCGCGAUUGAAUGAGCCGAUGUCGGAUUAGCUAGUUGGCGGGGUAAAGGCCCACCAAGGCGACGAUCCGUAGCCGGUCUGAGAGGAUGAUCAGCCAACAUGGAACCGAGACACGGUCCAGACUCCUAAGGGAGGCAGCAGUGGGGAAUAUUGGACAAUGGGCGCAAGCCUGAUCCAGCCAUACCGCGUGGGUGAAGAAGGCCUUCGGGUUGUAAAGCCCUUUUGUUGGGAAAGAAAAGCAGCAGGUUAAUACCCCGCUGUUCUGACGGUACCCAAAGAAUAAGCACCGGCUAACUUCGUG